rnacentral:rRNA from 1 species
GACGAACGCUGGCGGCGUGCCUAAUACAUGCAAGUAGAACGCUGAAGGAGGAGCUUGCUUCUCUGGAUGAGUUGCGAACGGGUGAGUAACGCGUAGGUAACCUGCCUGGUAGCGGGGGAUAACUAUUGGAAACGAUAGCUAAUACCGCAUAAGAGUAGAUGUUGCAUGACAUUUGCUUAAAAGUUGCAAUUGCAUCACUACCAGAUGGACCUGCGUUGUAUUAGCUAGUUGGUGGGGUAACGGCUCACCAAGGCGACGAUACAUAGCCGACCUGAGAGGGGGAUCGGCCACACUGGGACGGAGACCCGGCCCAGACUCCUACGGGAGGCAGCAGUAGGGAAUCUUCGGCAAUGGACGGAAGUCUGACCGAGCAACGCCGCGUGAGUGAAGAAGGUUUUCGGAUCGUAAAGCCCUGUUGUAAGAGAAGAACGAGUGUGAGAGUGGAAAGUUCACACUGUGACGGUAUCUUACCAGAAAGGGACGGCUAACUACGUG